UACGUAGGGGGCGAGCGUUACCCGGAUUUACUGGGCGUAAAGCGCGUGUAGGCGGCUGGUCAAGCGUGGUGUGAAAUCUCCGGGCUCAACCCGGAAACUGCAUUGCGAACUGACCUAGCUGGAGUGCAGGAGAGGGCAGCGGAAUUCCCGGUGUAGCGGUGAAAUGCGUAGAUAUCAGGAGGAACACCGGUGGCGAAGGCGGGUCUCUGGGCCGAUACUGACGCUGGAGGAGCGAAAGCGUGGGGAGCGAACAGG
rnacentral:rRNA from 1 species